AUUGAACGCUGGCGGCAUGCCUUACACAUGCAAGUCGAACGGCAGCGGGGGAGAAGCUUGCUUUUCCUGCCGGCGAGUGGCGAACGGGUGAGUAAUACAUCGGAACGUGCCCUGUAGUGGGGGAUAACUAGUCGAAAGAUUAGCUAAUACCGCAUACGACCUGAGGGUGAAAGUGGGGGACCGCAAGGCCUUAUGCCAUAGGAGCGGCCGAUGUCUGAUUAGCUAGUUGGUGGGGUAAAGGCCUACCAAGGCGACGAUCAGUAGCUGGUCUGAGAGGACGAUCAGCCACACUGGGACUGAGACACGGCCCAGACUCCUACGGGAGGCAGCAGUGGGGAAUUUUGGACAAUGGGCGAAAGCCUGAUCCAGCAAUGCCGCGUGUGUGAAGAAGGCCUUCGGGUUGUAAAGCACUUUUGUCCGGAAAGAAAUGGCUCUGGUUAAUACCUGGGGUCGAUGACGGUACCGGAAGAAUAAGGACCGGCUAACUACGUGCCAGCAGCCGCCGUAACAC
rnacentral:rRNA from 1 species